CCUACGGGGGGCAGCAGUGAGGAAUAUUGGUCAAUGGACGAGAGUCUGAACCAGCCAAGUAGCGUGUAGGAUGACUGCCCUAUGGGUUGUAAACUUCUUUUAUAUGGGAAUAAAACGUUCCACGUGUGGGAUUUUGUAUGUACCAUAUGAAUAAGGAUCGGCUAACUCCGUGCCAGCAGCCGCGGUAAUCCGGAGGAUCCGAGCGUUAUCCGGAUUUAUUGGGUUUAAAGGGAGCGUAGGUGGAUUGUUAAGUCAGUUGUGAAAGUUUGCGGCUCAACCGUAAAAUUGCAGUUGAAACUGGCAGUCUUGAGUACAGUAGAGGUGGGCGGAAUUCGUGGUGUAGCGGUGAAAUGCUUAGAUAUCACGAAGAACUCCGAUUGCGAAGGCAGUUCACUGGACUGCAACUGACACUGAGGCUCGAAAGUGUGGGUAUCAAACAGGAUUAGAUACCCGAGUAGUC
rnacentral:rRNA from 1 species